rnacentral:snoRNA from 1 species
UGCCACAAUGAUGACAGUUUAUUUGCUACUCUUGACUGUGAGGAUGACGAGAAUCUUACCACCAUUAUCCUAACUGAGGCA